UACGUAGGUGGCAAGCGUUGUCCGGAGUUAUUGGGCGUAAAGCGCGCGCAGGCGGUGCGGUAAGUCUCUGGUGAAAGCGCUCGGCUUAACUGGGCGAGGGCCGGGGAGACUGCCACGCUGGAGGGGAGCAGAGGCGAGUGGAAUUCCGGGUGUAGUGGUGAAAUGCGUAGAUAUCCGGAAGAACACCGAUGGCGAAGGCAACCUCCUGGGCCUGUUCUGACGCUGAGGCACGAAAGCGUGGGUAGCAAACAGG
rnacentral:rRNA from 1 species